GGAGGGGCAGAGAGGCGGUGUUCAUAUUUUGGUUGGUGUCUCAGUUUCUAGGUUUGCAUGUGGCUCCCCUUAUGUGUACAGCUGUCACAUCAGGCUUAGGUUGUCUAUAUUUAUCCCAGUUUAAAGCAAGACGUUAUAUGCAGCUUUUAUUUAAUACAAACUAAGUAGCACUUCAGGUUGGAACACUGCUAGGAACCACAGUUUAUAUUGAUUGGAAUCCUGCAAAGGGAGUGGGAAUGUUGAAUUUAGUUGGGUCGUGUGGGCAUGUCGCUUUGAAUAAAAGUGCCUGCUACAUGAAUACAAUUUAAAUGUUAAUUCAGGAAUAAUGGACGUAAGAAAGAAAAAUAUUCCAGCACACUGUAGUUAACUUUGGUGUACGCUGAAAGUGGUCCACUCAUCUCAUAUCCCAACUUACAGAAAUGUCCUGUAAGGUUGUCAUGGUUGACAUAUUGCCAACAAUUUUCAAUAGGUGACAGGAAAUGUAUAAAGUUCAAAAAGUACACUAACGUAUUUAAAGCAACCCUGUGUCAAUUCUAGAUGUCCAAGUAUGUGGUUAUCAUUUAGCAGACACUUUAAACAACCAUGAUCCCAUCCACUCCUUAGAUAUAGUGUGUCCAGGGCUGUGAAUAAGUCAGCUAGCUCUAGGCACACCAAGCACAUCAGGGAAUCUCAUAAUCUGUGGUCCAAUCAGCAAAGACUUAUCUCCUUCUUCUCCGAGCCUGCAGCUGCCACUGGGGGUCAUUCCCAUUUGUUUAUACCAUCAUCCAGUACAUAGACUUGAGAUGUUCAAUCCGCUGCUAGAAACUUUAGCCUCUGUCUAUGAUUUCUGCGACACUAAAGAAUUUGCACACGACAGUCAUUGAGUCCUUUCCCUUUUGGAAAGAAGAGUGUGAUUAGGCCUCCUCACGGUGCCUGGCCUCAUUUAUAAAGGUGCGUACGCAUAAAAACCAUGCAUACUCAACCUCUGUACACAAGUCGGCA